rnacentral:rRNA from 1 species
UACGUAGGGGGCUAGCGUUGUCCGGAUUUAUUGGGCGUAAAGCGCGCGUAGGUGGCCACAUAAGUCCGUUGUGAAAGUCAAAGGCUCAACCUUUGAAAGCCGAUGGAUACUGUGUGGCUAGAGUACGGAAGAGGCGAGUGGAAUUCCUGGUGUAGCGGUGGAAUGCGCAGAUAUCAGGAGGAACACCAAUAGCGAAGGCAGCUCGCUGGGACGUUACUGACACUGAGGCGCGAAAGCGUGGGGAGCGAACAGG